AAGUCGUAACAAGGUUUCCGUAGGUGAACCUGCGGAAGGAUCAUUACCGAGUCCACGGGGCUUCGGCCCCCAAACUCCCACCCCUUGCGUACCUUAACCUCUGUUGCUUUGGCGGGCCUGCGCGCCCUGAAAAGGCGCGCUGCCGGCUUCUGCUGGCUCGUGCCCGCCAGAGACCCCUCCAAACUCCUGUUUUUACCGGUGUUGUCUGAGCGUAAACAUGAAUAUUAAAACUUUCAACAACGGAUCUCUUGGUUCUG
rnacentral:misc_RNA from 2 species